rnacentral:rRNA from 1 species
GACAGAGGGUGCAAACGUUGUUCGGAAUUACUGGGCGUAAAGCGCGUGUAGGCGGCUUGGAAAGUCGGGUGUGAAAUCCCAGGGCUCAACCCUGGAAGUGCACUCGAAACUGCCUCGCUAGAGUUCUGGAGAGGAAGGUGGAAUGCUUGGUGUAGAGGUGAAAUUCGUAGAUAUCAAGCGGAACACCGGUGGCGAAGGCGACCUUCUGGACAGAAACUGACGCUGAGACGCGAAAGCGUGGGGAGCAAGCAGG